CAAUGGUGAGUUUUGUAAUAAAAAUGGUUACAAAGUUACCCGCAAGGUAGCGUAUAAAUUUGCAUGAACAACGGCAAAUCGUUGACAGGUCAGGAUAUGUUAUUUCAGGUAAUUAAAACAUUUGUAAAGGCGUCUUUUGAAAUUGUACAACGGGGAUCAACGUGAGAUUGUUUUCCACACAUAGAAAUGUUUAAUAAUAGGCAACGUUGGUUAAAAAUAAUACUGUGAAAUCUGAUUUUUGUUUGCUGUAUUAUGGUCUUCUCUCAUCUUCAUCUGCUUAUCCAGUAUCAGGUCGCGGGGGCAGCCGCUCCAGCAGGGGUCCCCAAACUUCCCUUUCCCGAGCCACAUUUGCCAGCUCUGACUGGGGGAUCCCGAGGCGUUCCCAGGCCCGUGUUGAAAUAUAAUCUCUCCACCUAGUCCUGGGCCUACCCCGAGAUCUCUUCCCAGCUGGACGUGCCUGGAACACCUCCCUAGGGAGACGUCCUGGGGGCAUCCUUACUAGAAACCCAUCUCCCCAUCUCAGCAUGCUUCCAAAACCAAAAGGAACUCUGCACUGAUUGAGAAGCUGCAGGCGAACCUGGUAAUAUCCCCUGCUGCUCUCAUGCCCUCUCAUAAGAGCCCUGGCCUGAGAUUGCUGCCCCCCUCCUUCUCCCCUGUGUCUCCGUGCUCCCCCACCCUUCCUGUUACUAUGGUAAACCCCACCUCCCCAGUUAGCAGGGUGCCUCGAGCUCGGUCACAGAGCAAGGAAGAGAUACCCACCACCUUUGAGAACCCAGCCAAACCCACUGAAGGGUCCCUACUGCCCAGUAUCAACAAGGGAAGAGCACGUCUCUCCAUCAGGCGACGCCCACCUUCAAGACGACACAGGAAGUCAAGUGGAGAGGAAGAUGGUGGGGCUGCAGAAAGUGACACGCCCCUAUCACCUAACAACACCCCAGACAGUGUUGGAGAGGAUGAGAAGAAAGAAGGAGGGGAGGUGUUUCAGAACAAACACAAGAAUGAGGAAGAAACAGACAACACUCCCAAAGCAGACACAGAGCCAAUCUCUGUUACCUCUACUAAUUCACAGCAACAGCCUGUGACGGAUGGUACAACUACAGACAUUGACCUAUUGAAUAAGACCAAAACAGGAAGUUUUCUAGAGCCCCAGAGAGAAGAGAACCAGGAGAGAAAAACUGGAGCGGAAAGACAGACAGGAGCAACAGAGUCUAGAGGAGAAGGGAAAGCGUGUGGUCAGGGGUGUGGAGAAGAGAAGAUGAGAAGGGGAUACUCAGUUGUUCAAUACUCAGAAAGGACCAGGAGUCAAAUACAGAAGAGGGAAAAGAGCUGGCCUGCAAAGAGAGAGAGGCAGAGAGGGAUACAGAUUAAAAUGAAAAGAAGGUGGGCAAGAUCAUCUUUGAUGCUUAAAUAUUGGUAUUAGAUAUUGAUCUAUACAAUGGACUAUCAAUUUCCUAAACACUCUUAAAUCCAUUGAACAUAAUCACCUCAAGUGGUAAUCUACAUCCCCAUACUCAGUUGAAAUAUAGAAUAUAUUGUAUCAUGUGUUAAAGAGGCCUUACCAUAACACAGCUACUUAAUGUAUUAAUUACUAACAAUACAUUUGUUUAAGAAAAACACAAGAUCUCCUCGUGUAAGAAAAACAAUCUAAAACAAGCAACAUUGAAUUUCACAAUAUAAUGUAUGUCCACUUCAUUCUGUCUGUUCAUAAAAUACCACAAAUGUAGUGCACUAUUUUUGACCAUAGCCUAUACCCAAACAAUUGCUGCAACGAUUUCUGGGAGAUAUGCUUUGGAGAGACGGAGACCAGUGCUGCGAUUCAUUCAAAUUUGCAAGAGCAAUGUUUACCCAGUCUUUCAAAAUUUUCACAUUCAUCUCAUGCUAAAACACAACUAAUUCUUAAAGGUGAAAGCAUAAUA
ensembl:lncRNA